ACGUUCCUCUCUCUUCUCUCUUCAACCUAACCAUGGCUGCCACCCCACUCCCUGUCACUUCCAUCACUUCACCACCACCACAGCAACAUCUCACAAAAUCUGCUACCUACACCCCUCUUCUCCCUCCUAACACUCCAUCUCUGAAGCUUGCAGGCUCCAUGUGCAAUUUCAGCAGAUUUCGUGGCUCUUCAAGAGGAUUCAGAGACUCGACGACGACAAUAGCCUCAGUUCGCUAUCCCGGAGAAGGUCAGUAAUCACAUUCACUUUCCCUUUCAUUUCAGUUGUUAGAUAAAUGUAAUUGUUUGAGUGUUUUUGCCUCUCAUUUGGUUUUCUGUUUUAAAAAUGUAUUUUUUGUAUCCGCAAUUUGCUUGUUUAAUUUUCUGUUUGAGGUGUGUCGAACCUAAUUUUUGUUGUUCUUGUUUGAUGAAAUCAGUAUGUAGAAGUUAAAAUGAAAUAAGGACACUUAGAAGGGCUAUCGAUUCCAUUUAAUGGAUGUAUGCCGCACCAUGUCGUUUGUCUAACUUUCUGUUGCUAGUAUUCAUUUUAACUCGUAUUUCGGAAAGGUGAUAAAAGAGCUGGUACAUAAGAAAUCCAGAGAGAUAAAACUUGAAUUUAUGAUCAUUUUGGGGAUGCUUGUUUUCCUUGAAAAUAUAUGGGAUAACAUAGUACUAUAUCUUUUCGUUGAGUUUUGUUUUACAAAUUGAACUAGCUCCUUGCCUGAAAUUCCAAAACUGCUAAGUGUGUGUUCAUGACUAAGUUACUAGCGUUUUUAUUCUUAAAACCUAGCAAAUGUUUAGGAUAGUAAAGUAGUUGUGCAAAACUUAUCUUUAGUUAAUAUUUCAUUAUAUUAGAAGGAAAAAUGAGGUCCUGGUGUGAACUUUGAAUAGUUUAGGUUAAACAUGUAAACACCCUCACCUCUCAUUUCAUUCUUAGUUAUAUAAUAAAAAUGUAAUCGUUUGGUUA